rnacentral:SRP_RNA from 1 species
ACCUGUUGGUACUCUGGCGCGCCACUGCCGGCUGGUUUGCCGUCGGUAUGUUUCUCUCGCGCCAAAAAGAUUCGGGGCCGGGCCCUGUGCAACAAAAUCCUGUGAACCCCGCCAGGUCCGGAAGGAAGCAACGGUAAGCAGGCUCGUGUGUGUGCCGCAGGAUCACCUGGCCCCACUUUCUUGGCGCGAUAGAAAAUGCCCGGUUGAUUUGCCAGCAGGC